UUCUACAAUCUGGUCAUUGACUUGGAUCCUGGAGAAAAAGAGAAAACAGCACCCACAGUGAACUCAUCUGCUAAACCAAGACAUUCUUUGGUGUUCACCUGUAUUUGAACAUCAAGUUCUGAAGGAUCCACUGAGGGGAGCAAGUAGGCUUACCAAACCUGCCAAACUGCGGCACUACAGAAAGACACCUCAGUGUCCAGCUCCCACCCUCAUCCCACACGUCAGAGUGAGCCUCGGAAACAGCAGAAAUAUCAUUUGCUGCUAUUCAAGUCUGCUAGUAGUGGGAAAUCAGACUUCAUGGAAGAUGACUCUGCAUAUGUUUUGCAUUGCUCUGAGGACUUCAAGUGUGGCUAAAGUUGCAAACUGAAGCUGACUUUCUUAAGUUGUGUGACUGAACACUUGUCUCUCGUCAUGUGACAAUGAAAUUUCUUUCUAAGAAUGGUAUUAAUAAAUA